CCUACGGGAGGCAGCAGUGGGGAAUAUUGGACAAUGGGCGGCAAGCCUGAUCCAGACCAUACCGCGUGGGUGAAGAAGGCCUUCGGGUUGUAAAGCCCUUUUGUUGGGAAAGAAAAGCAGCGGGCUAAUACCUUGCUGUUCUGACGGUACCACAGAGAAUAAGCACCGGCUAACUUCGUGCCAGCAGCCGCGGUAAUACGAAGGGUGCAAGCGUUACUCGGAAUUACUGGGCGUAAAGCGUGCGUAGGUGGUUGUUUAAGUCUGUUGUGAAAGCCCUGGGCUCAACCUGGGAACUGCAGUGGAAACUGGAUGACUAGAGUGUGGUAGAGGGUAGCGGAAUUCCCGGUGUAGCAGUGAAAUGCGUAGAGAUCGGGAGGAACAUCCAUGGCGAAGGCAGCUACCUGGACCAACACUGACACUGAGGCACGAAAGCGUGGGGAGCAAUCAGGAUAGAUACCCUGGUAGUCCACCCCCUAAACG
rnacentral:rRNA from 1 species